AAUCAGCAGCAGACCCUCCCUCCCACCUCCUGGACAGCUCACUAAGAAUGCAGAUUCAAAAUGGAUGCUGUCCAGGAGGUGGGAGGGAGGGUCUGUUGCUGAUU